CCUACGGGAGGCAGCAGUGGGGAAUAUUGCACAAUGGGCGCAAGCCUGAUGCAGCCAUGCCGCGUGUGUGAAGAAGGCCUUCGGGUUGUAAAGCACUUUCAGCGGGGAGGAAGGCGUUAAGGUUAAUAACCUUGGCGAUUGACGUUACCCGCCGAAGAAGCACCGGCUAACUCCGUGCCAGCAGCCGCGGUAAUACGGAGGGUGCAAGCGUUAAUCGGAAUUACUGGGCGUAAAGCGCACGCAGGCGGUCUGUCAAGUCGGAUGUGAAAUCCCCGGGCUCAACCUGGGAACUGCAUUCGAAACUGGCAGGCUAGAGUCUGGUAGAGGGGGGUAGAAUUCCAGGUGUAGCGGUGAAAUGCGUAGAGAUCUGGAGGAGUACCGGUGGCGAAGGCGGCCCCCUGGACAAAGACUGACGCUCAGGUGCGAAAGCGUGGGGAGCAAACAGGAUAGAUACCCGUGUAGUC
rnacentral:rRNA from 1 species